GUCUACAGCCAUGCCACCCUGAACAAGCCCGAUCCCAUCUUUUCUCGGAAGCUAAGCAGGGUCGGGCCUGGUUAGUACUUAGAUGGGAGACCACCUAGGAAGAUCAGGUGCUGUAGGCA
rnacentral:rRNA from 1 species